AGUACACGACGCCGAAGCCCCAGCUAAGUGAUAGCGAGAAACGGUGGCAGCCCCGGGUGAUAUCGCACGAGUUACCGGCCGAAGCGGUGUUGAGAAAACCUUACCCCGAGUCCCUUUGAUCUUCCGCGAUGAGUGAAACAGACGUGGCCGUGCUGACCCACUUGCUCCUCGGCAUGUCUGACGAAGACUUGCGCUCCCUGCAUGGAAGCAGUAUGUGGUGGCUACCGGAUCUUGCCAUUGCUUCGAGGACGGAGGUGAUCACCGCCAUCCGUGGUUCACUGCGAACUUUCCGCUCCCUGGACAAGCGUGUUUACUGCGUCGCCUGGGUUUACUGCUGCCUCGCAGAGCGCCAACUUAUCCGCUGCUGGCAUUGGUAUUCCCUGCGCCCUUGUGAAGCGCAGCUGAACGAUGACAUCAAACUGGAGGAGUGCCUGACGUCCGCCCUGCAAUCCGCCGAAGGCCACACCUUGCACGCGAAGACAGAGCGCGACGAAGCCACCUACGCUUGCAUUAUGACCACGAAUCCGACACGCGCGACAAGGGAGCACGACAUCAUCUGCUUGUGCAUGCCGCGUUCGCUGCCGUACCUUUUCGCCAGUGUUCCGCCGUACGACGAGAGGCGCUUCCAUGGCGCUCUCGAGUCUGUAUUGCAAAUAAGUGUCGACAAGAUCUAUGCCGGUUACAGCAUCCAGCUGCGUGAUGUAUUUGCCAGCGCCGGGGUGUCUUGUAAGCCGCCGUUACCGGUACCCACCGACGCCGAAAAGCGCCCGGAAAGUGGUGUCUGACCUCCAAGUGCUCCGAUAGGUUUGAGCUGACAGUUGCCAACGAAUCCGCAGGAUGCCUCGUGCAGCGAAUGGCGACGAACUAAAUGUAAUUUUCUGUGAAAAGACUGCGACGAGGUCCUCGACCAGAACUGGACAUGUGCAAUCCAAUCAGAAAAUUGCACCAACAAGAUCUGCUUGGUAUGUCCUAUAUGCUGAAGGCGACGUUACACCAGACCUCUGUAGGGCAGGUUGGGGAGGUUCGAACACAGAGAGAAAACGGCGCUCCAGUCGAAAUGAAUGCCCGAUUCUGAAGUUUUGGGCCGAAAAAGGACCUCCAGGAACGUACUGUCCUGCCAGUCAACAGGAAUGCUACGAUGUUUGCCAUGACCCUCGUAUAGGUUCUCAGUAUGUGUGUUGUAUCUAUGAAGUAAUUGUAAUAUUGAACGACCAAGAACUUUUACCUUGUUUAAAUUUUUAGAACUCUAGAGCAUUCCUUGCUGCUCACGUCGUCGAUCGCAAGCCUGUUAGCGCUAGUAACCCUGGAACAAAAUUCAGGUCUCUUAUUUACAUAGGCCUUCAUAGUUGAACUGAAUCUGUUAUCGGGGGAGCUGGGAACAAUUUCUUGCAACCCACCACAUAGGUGGGCGGGCUUACCAGAGCAACAUUUUUGACGACGUCUAGCAAUAGAUUUCAUAAAAAGAUUGAUGUGGGUGGUCAUGAUAUGCUGUGAAACACACGUCCAUUUUGUAACCGCUGUGGUAUAUCAAUGCGGAAUUGAUGUCCUUAUAGCCGUUGCAGGACAUAUCUUUGCGAACCAAUCUCAGAUCUGCGAGCAUUCACUAAAGCAUUUGUAAUCUUCGGUGCUAUGGAUACCACCCGCGCUGUGCUUUUAUUAUUUUUACGCCUCUUAUUACAAGCAAGCUGCUAUAUUACGGUUCUGUGUACGACUCGCUUGUAUAAUAAAUUUCAGAUCUUUUGAGUUUGA